rnacentral:tRNA from 4 species
GCUGGCGUAGCUCAAUUGGUAGAGCAGCUGACUUGUAAUCAGCAGGUUGCGGGUUCAAGUCCCAUCGCCAGCUCCA